CAGUGAGGCCCCUGACCUGCUGAACCAAUAGGUCAAACUACUCCAUGCUGACUGCCGUUGCCGGAGGAGGAGGAGCCUAAAAAAUUGGAGACGAGAUCGGAGCUUGCGGAUCUCGCUGAGAUCUGGCCACGGAGGUCGUAGAUCGCCUGAUGGAUGCCUUUCGGGGAGGCAUCAGGUGGGGAUCUGGUAGGAGAAGAAGAAGAAGAUGACUGGAGACAGUCCCGUUGAGUGCUCCUUUAAGAACAAGGGUCUUGCGAAGGCACGUCCUUCCUCUAGUGCCAAUUCUGUUGGUGCAGAAUUCUGCCAACGUCGGAGAAGCUGGAGUUGAGGGGAUC
rnacentral:lncRNA from 1 species